GUCACAAUCACACAGAAGUGGAGUUCAUUGAUCAGAAUCAAACACAAUGGCAGAUGAUUAUUAUUAUCAUAUCUGCUCUGACAAACGGGCUUCUGAUCAUUGUGGUGAUCGUUUUUGCUGCUGGAAAAGCAGAACAGUUGGAAAAACAUAUUCAUAAUACUGAUCUGCAAACACGAGUUAUCUAUCAACCAUAAGAACCAAACCAAUUGCUUCAAUUGUAAGUUCACUGAGGUGGAAAAUAUUCAGCAAGUAAACAGCACCUUUGUGACUCUAUAAAAUGUUAUCAUGUGCUUAUCAUGUGCUAUACUCUUUUACAGAGUAAUAUCAUAAGUAUUUGGGACACUAGUUACACUUCUUACUCCAGUGAAGUCUAUAAAAAACU